AUGUUAAAAACUGUUAGAGAUAUAUUUGGGUUACUUGUAUUUGGUAGUCUAGGAUUUGUAAUCCUUCUCCUACCUUAUCUUCAGGAGAGGCUUCUUGCCCUUCAAGUUUUGUAUUCAAUAUAUACUCGCCCUCGAGGCUCAAUAAUACAUGCAUCAUAUUCCGCCAAUCCCUCUCUCCCUUGUAACAAAAACUUUCAAUUCUCACAAAAAUCUUUGGGAAUUUUUGCGGUAAUUUAUGCAAUCUUGCGUGAUGGCAACAUAUUGUCUUGUGAUACUUUUGCAAAUCGUGUAGCAAAUCUCACAUAUGUACUUGCCAUAAUUGUUGGUGUACUCAAAGGCUAG
rnacentral:rRNA from 1 species